AUCGGUCCAGCUGCCCAAAAAUCCCAGCGUAUUCCCCAAACGCGUACACAUACCCGCAUAUGAUCAUACAUGUAUCCCCAUUCGUCUUCUUCCCCAACAAACCCUUGACAACAGUACUACAUAGUCAUUUCCCCUACGUUUCGUCCUUGGUUAGCGAGAUUGAGCCACGUAGUGACUUUGAGAAGGCUCGUUUGAAUCUAUACAAUCCGCCUUGGCCCUGGUUUUGUCUGAAUUUAUCAAAGAAUUUGAUAUUUUGGGAUGGGAAUUUGGCAUAUUUCUUAUCCGAAAGAAGGAAUUCAAAUAUUAAAUUCAGAAUUUCAUCCAAAAAACCCCUACUUUCUAUCAUUUUCCUCCUAUUUCCCCAAAAUAUUUCCCUAUUUAAGCUCGCUCGUUCACUGUUGGAAGGGGGUUCUUGGCUCAAUUUUGUUUUGAGAUAAUAGAAAUCUAACCGAGAAAGAGGCGUUUUACAGAUAGAGUCUAAAGAAGGAAGUCUUAAGUCUAAAUUUUGUUUUCUCCUCUGGUUCUGUUCGUUGUUCCGCGGUGCUUCUUUGUCGGAGCUUCACUAGUCGUGGUGAUGGAAGGCUUUGCAGCUCGUCAUCAUCCCAGGCGUUGCACCGAAAAAGUCCACUAGGCUCUUUGCCUCUUCUUUGCAUUUCGAGUUGGGCCACGGAGGUCCAAACUUUACCUUUUGAGUCAGCCUUGGCAAGCAAUCAGUUUUGGAAAAUGAAGUACAGGUUUUGAAAGUCGACAUUAUAGUGAAUGGAGCUGAAAUACAGAUUUCGAAGGAAAAAAAUAGGUUGUAUACAGUCUAUAUAGAAAGGAAUACAGGUGGAAAAAUGACUGUAUAUAUUGAUAUAUAGUGUAUAUACAGCAAAAUUGGGCUAAAAGUCCAAAAUGCAGGUAGCCCAACAUCUUAGUUCAGACAUACAAAACUAAGUGUUGGGCUAGAUUUUCAUUUUGUUUAGAAUUUUGGGCCAAAACCCAAAGCUUUUAAGCUAUUAUUCUUUUAUUUUAUUCGGGUUAUAAUAAUUUAAUUAUUUAUGUUGAUUUA